UCAGGGCUGAUCGCCCACCCAGGAAAUAGACUUGAUAGAAUAGAAACAGCUCAGACAAGCAGAAGAUUGUGUUUCCCUAACAUGAGACAACUUGAUUUAAAAUUCCACCCCCUGGUCAGGACGCUGAUCUACCACAGGUACUUGAUCUGUACCUGUAUGGUCUACAGCAAAGUCUAGAUCCUAGAUCGGUACCUGUAGGGUCUACAGCAAAGUCUAGAUCCUAGAUCUUUACCUGUAGGGUCUACAGCAUGGUCUAGAUCCCAGAUCUGUACAUGUAGGGUCUACAGCAGGUUCUAGGUUCUAGGUCCUAGAUCUGUACAUGUAGGGUCUACAGCAGGGUCUAGAUCCUAGAUCUGUACCUGUAGGGUCUACAGCAGGUUCUAGAUCCUAGAUCUGUACAUGUAGGGUCUACAGCAGGUUGUAGGUCCUAGAAUGUUCCUUUAGGGCAUCCUGGAGAAGUUGGAACCUUUUUUACAUUUUAACAAUUGAGCUCCAGUCGAGAGCGACUUAACUGUCUUGAUCAAGGAGAGGCUGACACAUUUUUGUUUACCUUUCCGACUCGGGAUUGAAUCUAGCAACCUUUCCGCUGCUACAGAUGCUAUAAACCCUUGGCCACCUGCUUCCCUGGAGUUUGUCAAACAUGUCCAGACAGGCAGCGGAGAACAAGACAAUAAGUGCAAUAUGUGGACAUGAAAGUCACAGAUGGACAGCCUUAUUUCCACCAACGUACAGUACAUUUUAUGGCAAUGGCUUUUUGACUGCCUCGCUGCGUUCAGCACAUUAUGCUUUACCCUCCCCUUUGAUGUCAUUCAAAAUGAAACCUGGAAAUGUUCGUCGUUGAAUAACCAGCCCAGGCUCAAAUCUGUUUGUGUCAGCAUGCCAACAUAUUGUAUUACAUGUUUGGCAUUAAAAAGAAUGACAGUUAAUUGUUAAAUGUGAUCGCCCACACACGUCUGGGACUGGGCUGCUGAAUAUCAUACACGCGACUACAUACGCGACUACAUGAUUACAUACAACACAGAACAAAACUGCGUUAGAUUAUACAUUCCGUCUCGCAUAGAAUGACAAAUCUUCAAAUUUCAAUCGAUCAAAUGUAUUUUAUGAAGCUCUUUUUACAUCAGAAGUUGUCACAAGCAGUUGUCACAUUGGUAAGUUUCAUGACAUGUCGUGUCUGCAAUUAGCUCUUUAGAAUGGAGGACAGCGAUUCUUAUCAAGGUGGUAGAUGUGGAAAACCUGCCGAGCUAUAAUGUAGCCAAAGUUUCAGGAAGGUCAAACUGAAGCCUUUGGACAAGGCAAUACUUUGUACUUCAUUUUCAAAACAAGUUGUAAUGAGAAAACUACAGGGAAGUAGAAUAUCAUAGUUAGAAACAGGCUGCCAGGAUGGCCAUGUCUGUAUGUUCCACAGGGUGAAUACUGAAAGUGUUAUAAAGGGAUAUUUUUUCAAGAAAGACAAGAAAGCAUGUUGACGUCAACAAAGUGAACCAUAUUACACAACGGACAAGGAGGUUAAGUGUGACAUUCUGAGAUAGAA
ensembl:lncRNA